GCCACACCCACUCCCUUACCUGGUGCUUCACACAAAACCUGCAGAAUCACCUGGAUGAAAGAGAGCAUUCAGUCGCACUGUGACACGCAUGCUAGCUUAUGUUAACUAAGAAACGUUCAUUAGCAUUUAAAUAUUGUUUCCAUGAUAUCAGAAAACAUUCAACUAUCUGAAAAGAACUCUAGCUAUGGGCCUCCGUUUACCGAUUAGACGGCUCUGUCGACAUUAUCUGUUCGCUCCAGCCUUUCUGAUUUUCUUCCUCGCCAUACUGGUGUACGUUUAUCUGCAGCCUCUGGCAGAGGUUGCACUGGUGAGAAUCUCCCCCACAAGCACACAGGUUGUGUUGCAGACUGAAGAAUACAAAGAGAAUAAACUGACAGAGAUUCAUCGACCCAUACCACAUAGAUUUGAAAAACUCCACUUCUCAGUCAAGGAAGAUGUCCUGGACCCCCUUAAAGUACCUUACAACUUCCUGCUGGGCUUUCCUCUUCUCCAAAGAAGUGGGUUUCCUAUUAAAGCACAUUUUAGAAGCUUUUGUUUAGCCCCUUCACAAAUAGACAUUUAGCAGCCUAGGCAACUUAGUUUAAAAAGGAAACUCAAAUCUGCUCUAAAGGUUGUCACAUAUCACAAAUGCAACGGAUUUCAAAAGCUCUAUUGCUGUGAUAUGAUGAUGUUGGCACAGCUCUAAAAAUACAACGUCCAGCCAUAUUAAGAAACCAUGGGCCAUAUUUUCAAAAGGUUUACUCAGGUGUUUAAUUAAAUGCUAUUUUUUGAAAGUAGAAAAACAUCUGUAGGUUUGUGUACAGUUUUUAGUUCAACAAUCAAAAUACACACAACACCCUGGCUCUCAAUAUUUCAGACCCUGGGAUUAGACUACUAAAUACCAAACAGUAUAGGUCUAUAUUUUGUUUAGCAACACGCAGCAAUCUCUUGUUAACCCUAGCAAUGCACUCUUAUUCCUAACUGGGCUUUAGGAGUCUAGAUUUAUGUAGUUUGAAGUAAUUUACUUCUACAGCUUUUCAAACUGCAAGGAACACUGUGCUACAUCAACCCAUUUAGAGGGCUGUUUCACACAAUCAGAAUUAAUUAGUGCUGGGACGAACACAGGAUUUUCAUGUUUGGG